UGGAGCUGGGCUGUUUUGUCUUCAGAGUGGUGCCUGGUAACCGCGACUUCCCCGCCAUGUUCUGUGUGUUGCUGGCUGGAGAAGGGUGGUUGACAAACUCUGACCCAGCACGGUGUUUCUGUGGGUCAAAACUAGAAAACUAUAUCCGGGCGCCGAGGUGAAAGGAUCCCUUCAGGCCAGGAGUUAAAGAGCAGCCUAGGCAACGUGGCGCGACCCCAUCUCUGUAGUCCCACCUCAGCUUCCCAGAUACUUGAACCCCAAAGUUCAAGGCUGCAGUGAGCUAUGAUCCCAUCACAGCACUCCAGCCUGCGAGACUGAGGCCAGAAUUCUAAAGUCAGUCCCACUGAGUCAACGUGGGAGCAGGGUCAGUGCCUUCCCAGGCUCUGCGGGAGAAUCUGUUUCCUGGCCCUGGAGGCGGCCUGUACUCCUCAGCUUGUGCUGCCCUUCUCGAAUGACUCGCGUUUCCUGCUUUCAUCACUACACCUCCCACCGCUCUCCAUCACCUGCUCUGCUCUUAUAAGGAUCCAGAGUCUUGUUCUGUCAUCCAGGCUGGCAGUGGCGCAGUCUCAGCCCACUGCAACAUCCACCUCCUGGGUUCAAGGAAUUCUCCUGCCUUAGCCUCCCGAGUAGCUGAGACUACCGGCGCCUGCCACUAAGCCUGGCUAGGUUUUGUAU
rnacentral:lncRNA from 1 species